rnacentral:rRNA from 1 species
GAUAUGGCUCAGGAUGAACGCUAGCGGCAGGCUUAACACAUGCAAGUCGAGGGGCAGCAUAAUGGAUAGCAAUAUCUAUGGUGGCGACCGGCGCACGGGUGCGUAACGCGUAUGCAACCUACCUUUAACAGGGGGAUAACACUGAGAAAUUGGUACUAAUACCCCAUAACAUCAUGAAAGGCAUCUUUUAUGGUUGAAAAUUCCGAUGGUUAGAGAUGGGCAUGCGUUGUAUUAG